AGUGAACGCUGGCGGUAGGCCUAACACAUGCAAGUCGAACGGCAGCACAGUAAGAGCUUGCUCUUACGGGUGGCGAGUGGCGGACGGGUGAGGAAUACAUCGGAAUCUACUUUUUCGUGGGGGAUAACGUAGGGAAACUUACGCUAAUACCGCAUACGACCUACGGGUGAAAGCAGGGGAUCUUCGGACCUUGCGCGAUUGAAUGAGCCGAUGUCGGAUUAGCUAGUUGGCGGGGUAAAGGCCCACCAAGGCGACGAUCCGUAGCUGGUCUGAGAGGAUGAUCAGCCACACUGGAACGGAGACCCGGUCCAGACUCCUACGGGAGGCACCAGUGGGGAAUAUUGGACAAUGUGCGCAAGCCUGAUCCAGCCAUACCGCGUGGGUGAAGAAGGCCUUCGGGUUGUAAAGCCCUUUUGUUGGGAAAGAAAAGCAGCAGGUUAAUACCCCGCUGUUCUGACGGUACCCAAAGAAUAAGCACCGGCUAACUUCGUG
rnacentral:rRNA from 1 species